GAUGAACGCUGGCGGCGUGCCUAACACAUGCAAGUCGAGCGAACAGACCAGGAGCUUGUUCGGCUGACGAUAGCCGAGGGCGUGAGUGUCACACGUGUAUCCUCCACUUGUAUGUCUGGUAUAACUUCGAAAAACCGGAUCAUAUAGCAUAGAAUAUAUUGAACCACAUUGUGCGAUGGAGAGAGUCGGCUUUGCGGGAUGGAAUAGCGGCGUACGCGCCGGAUUAGCUGGUUGGUAAGGUAACAGGUUACGAAGGGUACGAGGCGUGGCCGACCUGAGAGGGUGAUCGGCCACACUGGAACUGAGCCACGGUCCAGACUACUACGGGAGGCAGCAGUCGGGAAUGGUAGGCAAUGGGCGAAAGCCUGACGGAGCGACGGCGCGUGGGAGAUGAAGGUCUUGGGAUCGUAAAGCUCUGUUAUUGGGGAAGAACAAAUGUGUAAGUAAAUAUGCACGGCUUGACGGUACCUAAUCAGAAAGCACCGGCUAACUACGUG
rnacentral:rRNA from 1 species